UUUGUCAAGUCUCCAGUCCUGACUGCAUGC
rnacentral:piRNA from 1 species